rnacentral:misc_RNA from 1 species
CCGAGUUAUACAACUCAUCAACCCUGUGAACAUACCUAUAAACGUUGCCUUCGGCGGGAACAGACGGCCCUGUAACAACGGGCCGCCCCCCGCCAGAGGACCCCCUAACUCUGUUUUCUAUAAUGUUUCUUCUGAGUAAACAAGCAAAUAAAUUA